GCACUGGUGGUUCAGUGGUAGAAUUCUCACCUUCCAUGAGGGAUACCUGGGUUCAACUCCCAGUCAAUGUA
rnacentral:tRNA from 1 species